rnacentral:rRNA from 1 species
UGGUGGAGUGAUUUGUCUGGUUAAUUCCGUUAACGAACGAGACCUCGACCUGCUAAAUAGUUUGCAUCAUCUUUUGAUGGUGUAUCAACUUCUUAGAGGGACUAUCGGUGUGUAGCCGAUGGAAGUUCGAGGCAAUAACA